rnacentral:rRNA from 1 species
GAUGAACGCUGGCGGCGUGCCUAAUACAUGCAAGUCGAGCGAACGGACGAGAAGCUUGCUUCUCUGAUGUUAGCGGCGGACGGGUGAGUAAAACGUGGAUAACCUACCUAUAAGACUGGGAUAACUUCGGGAAACCGGAGCUAAUACCGGAUAAUAUUUUGAACCGCAUUGUUCAAAAGUGAAAGACGGUCUUGCUGUCACUUAUAGAUGGAUCCGCUCUGCAUUAGCUAGUUGGUAAGGUAACGGCUUACCAAGGCUACGAUGCAUAGCCGACCUGAGAGGGUGAUCAGCCACACUGGAACUGAGACACGGUCCAGACUCCUACGGUAGGCAGCAGUAGGGAAUCUUCCGCAAUGGGCGAAAGCCUGACGGAGCAACGCCGCGUGAGUGAUGGAGAUCUUCGGAUCGUAAAACUCUGUUAUGAGGGAAGAACAUAUGUGUAAGUAAGAGUACACAUCGUGACGGUACCUAAGCAGAGAGCCACGGCUGACUACGUG